rnacentral:rRNA from 1 species
ACUGCUCAGUAACACGUCGAUAAUCUGCCCUAAGGUUGGGGAUACCCACGGAAAACUGUGGUUAAUACCCGAUAUUGAAUGGAUUCUGGAACGAACCAUUCAUUAAACGUAAGGCCUUAGGAUGAGUCGGCGGCAGAUUAGGCAGUUGGCGGUGUAACGGACCACCAAACCAAAGAUCUGUAGGGGCCCUGAGAGGGGUAGCCCCGAGAGGGACACUGAAAUACUGGUCCCAGCUCCACGGAGUGCAGCAGGCGCGAAACCUUCGCAAUGCGCGAAAGCGUGACGAGGGGAUUCCGAGUGCUUACAUUUUAUGUAAGCUUUUGCCAAGAGUUAACAUCUUGGAGAAUAAGUGGUGGGUAAGACCGGUGCCAGCAGCCGCGGUAACCCCGGCGCCACGAGUGGCAAUCUUAUAUUGGGCCUAAAGCAUUCGUAGCAGGUUUAAAAAAUCCUUUGUGAAAUUGUUGAACUCAAUACAACAGCAUGCAGGGGACACUUUUAGACUAGAGACUGGGAGGAGUUGGGGGUAUGCCUUGGGGAACGGUUAAAUGUGAUAAUCCAAGGUAGACCACCUGUGGCGAAGGCGCCCAACUAGAACAGUUCUGACUGUGAGGGAUGAAAGCUAGGGUAGCGAUCCGGAUUAGAUACCCGAGUAGUCCUAGCUGUAAACACUGUGAGCUAGGUGUCGCAUAUUCUACGAGAAUAUGCGGUGUCGAAAAGAAGUUGAUAAGCUCACCGCCUGGGAAGUACGGUCGCAAGACUGAAACUUAAAGGAAUUGGCGGGGGAGCAC